AGCGAACGCUGGCGGCAGGCCUAACACAUGCAAGUCGAACGAAGUCUUCGGACUUAGUGGCGGACGGGUGAGUAACACGUGGGAACGUACCUUUUGGUUCGGAACAACUCAGGGAAACUUGAGCUAAUACCGGAUGAGCCCUUAGGGGGAAAGAUUUAUCGCCGAAAGAGCGGCCCGCGUUAGAUUAGCUAGUUGGUGAGGUAGAGGCUCACCAAGGCUACGAUCUAUAGCUGGUCUGAGAGGAUGAUCAGCCACACUGGGACUGGGACACGGCCCAGACUCCUACGGGAGGCAGCAGUGGGGAAUCUUGCGCAAUGGGCGAAAGCCUGACGCAGCCAUGCCGCGUGAAUGAUGAAGGUCUUAGGAUUGUAAAAUUCUUUUACCAGGGACGAUAAUGACGGUACCUGGAGAAAAAGCCCCGGCUAACUUCGUGCCAGCCGCCGCAGUAAAAC
rnacentral:rRNA from 1 species